GUCUGUUGAUCCACAGUAGGACAAUGUGGGUAAGGGUCUGCAGUCUCAAGGGCUGAUAUGCGGCUUUCCAGGGAGGUAAACAUUGAGUUGAGAUCCUGGUGCAUGGUAGACUUGUUUAACCCAGUCUAGGAGAAGAUGCAAGUCAACAUUUUUAGGCAGGGAGGCAAAGAGAGCCUACCUGUCUGGGUUGGAAUAGUCUGGAGUUGAUAG